GACGAACGCUGGCGGCGUGCUUAACACAUGCAAGUCGAACGGAAAGGCCCUGCUUUUGUGGGGUGCUCGAGUGGCGAACGGGUGAGUAACACGUGAGUAACCUGCCCUUGACUUUGGGAUAACUUCAGGAAACUGGGGCUAAUACCGGAUAGGAGCUCCUGCUGCAUGGUGGGGGUUGGAAAGUUUCGGCGGUUGGGGAUGGACUCGCGGCUUAUCAGCUUGUUGGUGGGGUAGUGACUUACCAAGGCUUUGACGGGUAGCCGGCCUGAGAGGGUGACCGGCCACAUUGGGACUGAGAUACGGCCCAGACUCCUACGGGAGGCAGCAGUGGGGAAUAUUGCACAAUGGGCGGAAGCCUGAUGCAGCAACGCCGCGUGCGGGAUGACGGCCUUCGGGUUGUAAACCGCUUUCGCCUGUGACGAAGCGUGAGUGACGGUAAUGGGUAAAGAGGCACCGGCUAACUACGUG
rnacentral:rRNA from 1 species